rnacentral:tRNA from 1 species
UGGGAUAUAGCUCAGUUGGUAGAGUGCUUGCCUUAUAUGCACACAGCCCUGGGUUCAAUCCCCAGCAUCACAA